CUAGAGAAGGAUAUAUACUUUGUAUCUUUACUUGAAAGGCAGGUUUAAUUGCCAGCUCUUCCAGUCUUCCCUCAUCACUUUCGUUUAACAAAUAUUUAGUUCUGCUGGACUCACAUACAUCUGUACAUUAUGCAAGGUAUUGUGAUGACAGACACAUUAGGAACUGGAAAAGGUCAGACAUUAGAGCUGUGAGCACUAUAUAAGGAAAGCAAGAGAGAAAAAAAGUCACAUUUCAAGGAAUGAGAGAGAAAAGGCUGGAUUUACUGGCAAAAGCACCUGAGCUUCUGAAGAAGCAAAGGGAGAAACCAGUUAAGUUAGAAGAAAACCCUGAAGCUACUUUUUAGAUGCCAGACUUGGUACUAGGAGGGAAAAGAAUUAGAGAUGAAGAUGCUGAAGUUUGGACUUGGACUCAGAGACCCAUUCUCAGCAGAAUGAGGCUGGCAGGAAAACUGCCAGGGACAGAAGAAAACCACAAGCCCCUGACUUCUCAUGCCCUAAGCAGGAAAACUGAGCGUGUCCUGUGCUUGAAAGGACUUUUAUUACUGCCUAUCGUGAUGGGGUCCAGCAUGCUUAUCGCAGAGCCAUGUGUGUUCUCUCUCUUUGCAAAUUAAGGCACCUCAAAUAAAAC
rnacentral:lncRNA from 14 species